rnacentral:rRNA from 1 species
CCUACGGGUGGCAGCAGUGGGGAAUAUUGCACAAUGGGGGAAACCCUGAUGCAGCGAUGCCGCGUGUGUGAAGAAGUAAUUCGUUAUGUAAAGCACUAUCAGCAGGGAAGAAAAUGAUGGUACCUGAGUACGAAGCGCCGGCUAACUACGUGCCAGCAGCCACGGUAAUACGUAGGGGGCACGCGUUAUCAGGUAUUACUGGGUGAAAAGGGAACGUAGGCGGCUGGGCAAGUCGUGAGUGAAAGGCGGGGGCUCAACCCCCGGACUGCACUAGAAACUGGACGGCUAGAGUGUAGGAGAGGUGAGUAGAAUUCCUAGUGGAGCGGUGAAAUGCGUAGAGAUUUGGAGGAACACCAGUGGCGAAGGCGGCUUACUGGAC